AAAAACGAAGGAGUGAAUGCGGAAUUAACUUCCUCAUAAAGAAAGAAGGAGCAAAGUGUGAGAGUACACGAGCGGCGAACGGCUGCGUAACGCGUAGGAACGUACCCCAAAGUGAGGGAUAAGCACCAGAAAUGGUGUCUAAUACCGCAUGUGGUCUUCGGAUUAAAGCUUCGGCGCUUUGGGAGCGGCCUGCGUAUGAUUAGUUUGUUGGUGAGGUAAUGGCUCACCAAGGCUUCGAUCAUUAGCUGGUCUGAGAGGAUGAUCAGCCAGACUGGGACUGAGAACGGCCCAGACUCCUACGGGAGGCAGCAGUAGGGAAUUUCCACAAUGGGCGAAAGCCUGAUGGAGCAACGCCGCGUGCAGGAUGAAGGCCUUCGGGUUGUAAACUGCUUUUAUAUGUGACGAUUAUGACGGUAGCAUAUGAAUAAGGAUCGGCUAACUCCGUG
rnacentral:rRNA from 1 species